rnacentral:rRNA from 1 species
UACGGAGGGUGCAAGCGUUAUCCGGAUUUACUGGGUUUAAAGGGUGCGUAGGUGGAUUUGUACGUCAGAGGUGAAAUCUCCGAGCUUACCUCGGAAACUGCCUUUGAUACUAUAAGUCUUGAAUUAUCUGGAGGUAAGCGGAAUAUGUCAUGUAGCGGUGAAAUGCGUAGAUAUGACAUAGAACACCAAUUGCGAAGGCAGCAUACUACGGAUCGAGUGACACUGAGGCACGAAAGCGUGGGGAUCAAACAGG